GGAUAACACCUGGAAACAGAUGCUAAUACCGGAUGACAACACUAGACGCAUGUCUAGAGUUUGAAAGAUGGUUCUGCUAUCACUCUUGGAUGGACCUGCGGUGCAUUAGCUAGUUGGUAAGGUAACGGCUUACCAAGGCAAUGAUGCAUAGCCGAGUUGAGAGACUGAUCGGCCACAUUGGGACUGAGACACGGCCCAAACUCCUACGGGAGGCAGCAGUAGGGAAUCUUCCACAAUGGACGAAAGUCUGAUGGAGCAACGCCGCGUGAGUGAAGAAGGGUUUCAGCUCGUAAAGCUCUGUUGGUAGUGAAGAAAGAUAGAGGUAGUAACUGGCCUUUAUUUGACGGUAAUUACUUAGAAAGUCACGGCUAACUACGUGCCAGCAGCCGCGGUAAUACGUAGGUGGCAAGCGUUGUCCGGAUUUAUUGGGCGUAAAGCGAGUGCAGGCGGUUCAAUAAGUCUGAUGUGAAAGCCUUCGGCUCAACCGGAGAAUUGCAUCAGAAACUGUGGAACUUGAGUGCAGAAGAGGAGAGUGGAACUCCAUGUGUAGCGGUGGAAUGCGUAGAUAUAUGGAAGAACACCAGUGGCGAAGGCGGCUCUCUGGUCUGCAACUGACGCUGAGGCUCGAAAGCAUGGGUAGCGAACAGGAUUAGAUACCCUGGUAGUCCAUGCCGUAAACGAUGAGUGCUAAGUGUUGGGAGGUUUCCGCCUCUCAGU
rnacentral:rRNA from 1 species